CAGAUCAUCUAACCUUUGUAAACUAGGCAACUGAAUCAUCUCAUCUCGACAAAGUUCAGUACAUGGUGAAGAUAUUAGAGUUUGACUAAUUCUCUUGAAAAAUGAAUCACCUCUCACCUCUCAACUUGCGUCGCGGGGCUAACAAAAUAUAGGUACAUGGUGAAGCCAAGUGACACUCUUAUUUUUCUUUCAUACAGGACUGUUGCGGUGCGUAGAAGAAAGGUGCCACUUUCACUUAGUUCUCUUAGUUCUAAGUUGGGACUGCAAAAAUUUGAGGAUUUCCCCACAUGUGAGUUGCCUUGAUUAGUUUUGGCUUAGUUAGUGAAAUGAACUGGAAGUAACUUCUGAAUUUGUUUGACUUUGGACUUGCAAGAGACCUGAAGUUUCUGCUUCUAGCAUUUCUCUUCUGUAAGCAGCAUGGCAAACCGGGUUUCAAAGUAAAGACCUGAGGAAGAAUGUAGAUUGAUCACUAUGAUUUCAAGUCCUUCAGAGCUGGAGCUGUUAAGACUUGAGACAGAUAUAUACAGGGCCACAGGGGCCUACAAGAUCCAAUUCAUGUUUGACGGUUCGUCAAAAUAAGCAAGUAGUAUUGAUGGGUAAAGAAGAAAGCUGAGGCACAUCAAUCAAACGCCAACCCACCUGCUAUUGGCACUAAAUGAGGAAGGAAAAAGAACAUUGUCCCUAAAGGCUCAAGAUACACAAACAGGCAACUGAGUUUGGGAAAGGUGGUUGUCUCCUUGACGCACACCAUGGUGCCCUUGUCUACUCUCUGUCUUCUUCCUUGGACAGACACCUUAUUUACUCCUAGUAGGUUCUCUCGUACCAUUUUUCGGUGGAGUUGUACUGGCAUCUUUGACUGAAGUUUCUUUCAACUGAGACAAAACAUGACAAGAAAGGGGAAGAACUAACCUACAUGGAGCUUGGUCAAGGUCGCCGCUCAUGUUUGAUGGCAUUGUUUCUGGUUCCACUGACGUUGUCGAUGCCUGUUACCUAUGGCCCCGUUGUUGCUUUCCUCGGUAGGGCGUGGUCCAUCAGCCACUGCAUGCAGACAAUAGAAUUUAGGCCAGCAAUUGUCGCUUAUCUACGCUACAGAUCGACCCAUAGAUAGGGAAAGGAAGCGAUGGCUGGUGGGGAGAGGAGUCGGGGGACGUGUUGUGAUGGGACAAGAGGCGCAGUGGCAGGGAGAGAAGCUGAAGACUACGCCAUGUGAGUUGCUGAAGUUGUGCCUUAUGCGGUGGGGAUAAGGGAUGUGUGAUGUGCUUGUGUGGUGAGAGGCGAGGAGUGGCUUUUCCUUUUUGUGGGAGGCUGUUCAUAUUUGUCUAUUCUAUUUUUAUAUUCAAGAUACAUACAAUUAUUUAUCAUCAUUAUAAUCGAGAUAAUAAAUAUUUAUUUAUUUCA